rnacentral:rRNA from 1 species
AGUGAACGCUGGCGGUAGGCCUAACACAUGCAAGUCGAACGGCAGCACAGUAAGAGCUUGCUCUUACGGGUGGCGAGUGGCGGACGUGUGAGGAAUAUAUCGGAAUCUACUUUUUCGUGGGGGAUAACGUAGGGAAACUUACGCUAAUACCGCAUACGACCUACGGUUGAAAGCAGGGGAUCUUCGGACCUUGCGCGAAUGAAUGCGCCGAUGUGGGAUUGGCUAGUUGGCGGGGUAAAGGCCCACCAAGGCGCGGAUCCGUAGCUGGACUGAGAGGAGGAUAGGCGACAUUGGAAGUGGACCAGGGACAAGGGGACUACGGGAGGCAGCAGAGGGGAAUAUGAGACAGUGGGGGGAAGCAUGAUACAGCCAUACCGCGUGGGAUAAGAAGGCCUUGGGGUUGUAAAGCCCUUUUUUUGGGAAAGAAAAGCAGCAGGUUAAUACCCCGCUGUUGUGACGGUACCCAAAGAAUAAGCACCGGCUAACUACGUG